UUUCAUUUGACUUUUUUCACUUUAUUUUUAAUCUGUUCAUCUUCUUUCUUGAAAUGUUUAGGUAUUGUUUCUAAAAUUAGGCACAUUUAGUAAUGUUUUGAUGUCUUUUUUUACACAAUGAAGAACAUAAUAUAUCCUUUGGACAGUGCAAUCGCCGAAUUCCGGGUUAUUAAAAGUAUUUAAAGUGUUUUGGAAUGCCUUACAUAAUAACUUAAUCUCGGUGAUGACGUAGUAAAAUUUUGAUUAUCACUAGAAGAUUGUAUCAGUUUCUUUGUAUAAUGCCGUUUUGAUGAAAGUGAAUUUAUGUGUUUUUGUGUAACACUAGUCGUUUUCGUUUCACUAUCAAAAACGGAGGAAUUCUUCAAUCUUAAUUCAGCAUGGGAUUGACGGCUGCAUAUUUGAUUUGAGGUCUUCGGCAAUUCAUACCAACCGUAAUACCUAACAGGCGUUCAUUCAGUAAAAGAGGUGAAACAAAAGUUCCAAAGCAACACUGAUUGGUUUGAGGUCGGCAUGCAUCACAUAUAAGUCGAAAAAUGUCAACGAUUUCACUGCCCUUUAAAACGGACACGAUUUCAUUCAAAACGAAAACACACAGUAAAAAAGCUAAUUUCAUUGUAGGCUCAUAAAAAAUUUAACAUUAUUUUCGCGAUAAAAUUUUUAGUUUACUUUA